CCUACGGGUGGCAGCAGUGAGGAAUAUUGGUCAAUGGCCGGAAGGCUGAACCAGCCAAGCCGCGUGAAGGACGAAGGUGCCAAGCAUUGUAAACUUCUUUUGUCAAGGGACAAAAUCAGGCUCGAGAGCCUGACCGAGGGUACUUGAAGAAAAAGCAUCGGCUAACUCCGUGCCAGCAGCCGCGGUAAUACGGAGGAUGCGAGCGUUAUCCGGAUUUAUUGGGUUUAAAGGGUGCGUAGGCGGACUGUUAAGUCAGCGGUAAAAGCCCGGGGCUCAACCCCGGCGAGCCGUUGAAACUGGCUGUCGUGAGACGUCGAGAGGUAUGCGGAAUGCGAAGUGUAGAGGUGAAAUGCUUAGAUAGGGCGCAGAACUCCGAUUGCGAAGGCAGCAUACCGGCGGCGAUCUGACGCUGAGGCACGAAAGCGUGGGUAUCGAACAGGAUUAGAUACCCCAGUAGUC
rnacentral:rRNA from 1 species